rnacentral:tRNA from 1 species
GGGGUUGUGGCUUAGUGGUGGAGCACUCACCUAGCACAUGUGAGGCCCUUGGUUCAAUCCUUAGCACCACA